UCGUUACGGUGCUUAGCAAAAUCCUAAUAACAUGUUUCGCUUAUUCUUGUGAAUGAUUAAGGCCAACGAUCACCAUUCCGAUUUGACACGUCGCCGGAGCUCCGAUGAGUGUCCCGAUUCGCUCGCCAUGAUGGAACCAUGAUAAUUAGAUUCGCUUUCAAAUUUGGAAGGAAAUGAAACUGUACUAUUAUUUCUGAUCCAAAAUUUUUUGAAAUGGAAAAAACCUCAACCAAGAUCAAAGAGAUGAUGGAUUUGUGUUCACAUCCAAACAAGACAAUAAUAAACUCUUUGGUGAUGCUCAUGCCUUUGAUAAAUUCAAAUUCAGUGCAAGGAAAGAACAACAAAGUGGCAACACUAGUAGGAUCAAUAAAAGUAGAGCAAAAUUCAUCAAGUUUUCCACCCCUCCCCCUCCCCAAGGACAUCAUCAUGAUUUUACAUUAGAGAUGUCGCAGGGCCUUGAUGCUGUGUACAGAAACCAUGCUGCCACACGCAGGUCUCUUGGUAGGAUGAGAGAUGCAGCGGAAGAUUGUAUGCUGGCUGCUUAAAUUGAUCCAAAUUUCCUCAGGGCUCGACUUAGAGCUGCAAAUUGUUUCCUUGCUUUUGGGGAAGUUGAGGAUGCGUCGAAGUAUUCCAAGAAGUGCUUGCAAUCAGGAACCGAUGUUUGUAUAGAUCAAAAAAUUGUUGUGGAAGCCUCCGAUCUCUUGCAAAAGACACAGAAAGUAUCAGAAUUAAUCAAUCAUUCUGAUGAACUUUUGCAAAGAAGAAUAGCUGCUGAUGCAGAGAGAGUAUUGAAACAUAUAAAUGAGGCAUUGAUGAUGAGUUCAUACUCUGAAAAAUUACUUGAAAUGAAAGCGGAGGCUCUUUUUAUGGUCUGCAUUUCUGUCUUAUAAUAUGCUGGCACUUUACUAAAACUUGUCAAAGUCAGCAGCAUUUGGCUGUUCGAACAGUCUUUUAUUCUAGUUAAGCCUGUGUUGGAUAACUUUUGCUUUAAAUAUCAGCUAUGUAGAUAUGAGGAAGUGAUCCAGAUGUGUGAUGAAACCAUUGGUUCUGCCGAGAAGAAUUCUUAUCCAUUGGAUGCUGAUUGCAAAGUGAGAGAUCUGAAUAGUUCACAGCUUUCAAAAGGCUUAUAUUUCAGGCUUUGGCAGUGCUCAAUGAUGCUUAAAUCCUACUUUCACCUACGAAAGCUUGAAGAGGGUCUUUCUUUACUGGAGGAACAAGAGGAAAAGGUAUCAGCCAUAAACAAGUAAGUAUUAUUAAUAUCUGAUCCAUUCACCCUCCUAUGGCCUCUCCCCAAAAGAGCAUUGAAAAAGAAUGAAAAGAUGGACAUGUUUGAUGGUGAUCCCUUCUUUUAAUAUGGAUAUCAGCUUUGAUAAUGUCCCUGCAGGAGUGGAAGCAAGGUUUUGGAAUCACUAAUACCACUAGCUGUAACUGUACGUGAUCCCUUCUUUUAAUAUGCCGAUAGGCUUUUCAAAAUAAUUGGAGAGGCAUAUGCAAUCCUGUCACACCCUGCCAAGCGAUCACAGUAUGAUUCUGAAGAAGAAAUGAGAAAUUCCCAAAAGAAACGCCAUGCAAAUA